rnacentral:rRNA from 1 species
UGAGCAACCUGCCCUUGACUCUGGAAUAACAGUUGGAAACAGCUGCUAAUACCGGAUAUGACCUCUGACGUCAUCGUCUGGAGGUGGAAAGCUCCGGCGGUCAAGGAUGGGCUCGCGGCCUAUCAGCUUGUUGGUGAGGUAACGGCUCACCAAGGCUUCGACGGGUAGCCGGCCUGAGAGGGCGACCGGCCACACUGGGACUGAGAUACGGCCCAGACUCCCUAGGGACGG